AUGCACGCUGGCGGCGUGCCUCAUCCCUGCAAGUCGAGCGAACAGACGAGGAGCUUGCUCCUCUGACGUUAGCGGCGGACGGGUGAGUAACACGUGGAUAACCUACCUAUAAGACUGGGAUAACUUCGGGAAACCGGAGCUAAUACCGGAUAAUAUAUUGAACCGCAUGGUUCAAUAGUGAAAGACGGUUUUGCUGUCACUUAUAGAUGGAUCCGCGCCGCAUUAGCUAGUUGGUAAGGUAACGGCUUACCAAGGCAAUGAUGCGUAGCCGACCUGAGAGGGUGAUCGGCCACACUGGAACUGAGACACGGUCCAGACUCCUACGGGAGGCAGCAGUAGGGAAUCUUCCGCAAUGGGCGAAAGCCUGACGGAGCAACGCCGCGUGAGUGAUGAAGGUCUUCGGAUCGUAAAACUCUGUUAUUAGGGAAGAACAAAUGUGUAAGUAACUAUGCACGUCUUGACGGUACCUAAUCAGAAAGCCACGGCUAACUACGUG
rnacentral:rRNA from 1 species